AGGCCUUGACAUACUAAGAACUUUCCAGAGAUGGAUUGGUGCCUUCGGGAACUUAGAUACAGGUGCUGCAUGGCUGUCGUCAGCUCGUGUCGUGAGAUGUUGGGUUAAGUCCGCAACGAUCGCAACCUUUCCUAUUUGCCAGCGGGUAAUGCCGGGAACUUUAAGGAUACUGCCAGUGACAAACUGGAGGAAGGCGGGGACGACGUCAAGUCAUCAUGGCCCUUACGGCCAGGGCUACACACGUGCUACAAUGGUCGGUACAAAGGGUUGCUACCUCGCGAGAGGAUGCUAAUCUCAAAAAGCCGAUCGUAGUCCGGAUCGCAGUCUGCAACUCGACUGCGUGAAGUCGGAAUCGCUAGUAAUCGCGGAUCAGAAUGCCGCGGUGAAUACGUUCCCGGGCCUUGUACACACCGCCCGUCACACCAUGGGAGUUUGUUGCACCAGAAGUAGGUAGUCUAACCGCAAGGAGGACGCUUACCACGGUGUGGCCGAUGACUGGGGUGAAGUCGUAACAAGGUAAGCGUAGAUGA
rnacentral:rRNA from 1 species